GCGAUUAAGUGGAGGGGCGACUUCGGUCAAAGCGAAACUUAUGAAAGCGGCGGACGGGUGAGUAACGCGUGGGCAACCUGCCCCAUACAGAGGGAUAGCCACNGGAAACGGUGAUUAAUACCUCAUGAGUCAGUAAGGUCGCAUGAUCUAGCUGACAAAGAUUUAUCGGUAUGGGAUGGGCCCGCGUCUGAUUAGCUAGUUGGUGAGGUAACGGCUCACCAAGGCGACGAUCAGUAGCCGACCUGAGAGGGUGAUCGGCCACACUGGAACUGAAACACGGUCCAGACUCCUACGGGAGGCAGCAAUGGGGAAUAUUGCACAAUGGGCGCAAGCCUGAUGCAACAACGCCCCGUGAGUGAAGAAGGCCUUCGGGUCGUAAAACUCUGUCCUAUGGGAAGAAACAAAUGACGGUACCAUGGGAGGAAGCCCCGGCUAACUACGUGC
rnacentral:rRNA from 1 species